CAGCAGAUUCUGUGUUCAAGACCAGAGUGGAGCUAACAGACUUGCUUCCCACUCCAGCAUUCGAACAAGUCAACAGCAGCAACAGCAGCAGGCUUUGCCACUUUCCUACUCUACCUCAUCUCUACCUCUGGGUUUCCGAAUUUGUAAAGGUGGAACAAAUCUCCCAACAGUCUAUGUUAACACAUCCUCGGGAUCCCAAACUCAACAGUUUGGUUUACGUUUCCAACAGCAGCAAAAGCAAUCUGUCCACAGAGAGCAAAGCCAGAGGGGGCCCAUUAGGGGAAAGGGUUUUGAAGAAAAGAAUAAACAGAAGGAAGAAAAGCCCAGAUGAAAGGUCCAGAGGAGAGUGAGUGACAAGAAAGGAAGCUUGAGAGCGGCUGACAGGUGGGCUGAGCGGUGGUGGUGACGGCCGCGCGUGUGGCGGCGGGGGGCCCUCCCACCCACCAAGGGCAGCGCAGGCCUCGGCGGCGACGCCUCGCAAGCGUGGGCAGCGGAGGAGGGAGCGGGGUGCGAGCCCCGCGCCAGGCAGCUGCGACAGGAGGCAGGCGGCGGGCGCGCGGUCUCCCAGCCAGCCUGCUUCCCAUUGGCCCCCGGGAAGCGCUCGGAGCUGUUCUUCUCUUCCUGGACGCAGCGGCUGUCCACCGGUUCCCGCGAGUCAGUUUGGAGAAAUUCCUUGCCUACCUAGCUGGGAGAGCUAGGCUGGGCUUCGGCGGCCCUCUAGGGCGCUCUUCGUGCUGGAGACUCGGGGACGAGAGCCGGGGAUGAGCGGCGGAAGGCGGCGCCGGCCCUGACAGGACUCCCGGCCAAGGCUACCCGCCACCGGCUGGGGAUGAGCAAGCUGGGUCAGAUGCCUUAGCCGGGUGCACGCGCCGGGCGGAGCGCGCAGGUCGGACUGUGCUCUCGGCGGUCCGCCCUGCGUUGGUGCCUGGCCAGUCCCAGGAUGGGCACUGGAGCCCCCGGGGCCGCGCCCGCUAGAGCCCGGCGUCCCUUCCACGUCCUGAGCUCAUGGACGGCGACUCCCGGCUGGCAGCGGCGCGCCCCCGGGCUGUGAAUGCGACUCGCUCAUCGUCCGCGCUCCCCGCCCGCCCGCCCGCCGGGACGUGGUAGGGGAUGCCUAGCUCCUCUGCGAUGGCAGUUGGCGCGCUCUCCAGUUCCCUCCUGGUCACCUGCUGCCUGAUGGUGGCUCUGUGCAGUCCGAGCAUCCCGCUGGAGAAGCUGGCCCAAGCUCCUGAGCAACCCGGCCAGGAGAAACGCGAGCACGCGUCUCGGGACAGCCCCGGGCGGGUGAGCGAGCUCGGGCGCGCCGCGAGGGACGAGGGCAGCAGUGCCCGGGACUGGAAGAGUAAGGGCAGCCGCGCGCUCGCGAGCCGGGAGGCGUGGAGCAAGCAGAAGCAGGCCUGGACUGCCCAGGGCGGGAGUGUCAAGGCCGCGGACUGGCAGGUCCGACCUCGGGGGGACACCCCGCAGGAAGAGUCCCCGGCCGCCGCCCAGGAAGCGAUCAGCCUAGAACUCGUGCCCACACCAGAGCUGCCUGAGGAAUACGCUUACCCAGACUACCGCGGCAAGGGCUGCGUGGAUGAGAGUGGCUUCGUGUAUGCGAUCGGGGAGAAGUUCGCCCCAGGUCCCUCAGCCUGCCCGUGUCUGUGUACGGAGGAGGGGCCCCUGUGCGCACAGCCAGAGUGCCCGCGGCUUCACCCGCGCUGCAUCCACGUCGACACUAGCCAGUGCUGUCCGCAGUGCAAGGAGAGGAAGAACUACUGCGAGUUCCGGGGCAAGACCUACCAGACUUUGGAGGAGUUCGUGGUGUCUCCGUGUGAGCGGUGUCGCUGUGAAGCCAAUGGUGAAGUACUGUGCACAGUGUCGGCGUGUCCCCAGACGGAAUGUGUGGACCCCGUGUACGAGCCUGAUCAGUGCUGCCCCAUCUGCAAAAACGGUCCAAACUGCUUUGCAGAAACUGCUGUCAUCCCAGCUGGUAGAGAAGUGAAGACGGAUGAAUGCACCAUAUGUCACUGUACUUAUGAGGAGGGUACGUGGAGAAUUGAACGGCAAGCCAUGUGCACAAGACAUGAAUGCAGGCAAAUGUAGACUUCACAAUACAAAACUCUCAUGUUUUUCUAGAAUAUUUUACUAAUGUUGACAUUCUAGAUGACUCUGAGAAAUGUCAAUCAAAAAGAGAAGACUUUGGAUAAGGAGUCAAGGGAAAUGGUUGGCACUUUUCCUUUUCUUGGUAACAAUUACAGCAAGAGACAGACAUGGAUGUAUUUCAAAACAUCAAUAAGAACUUUGGACAUAAACUCCCUCUCUAAAUAAAUGUGCUAUUUUCACACAGACAUCAUGAUGGUGGAAGGUGGUUGGGAAGGUUGUCAUCUCCUGGCAGUGGAAAGCAAAGAAAGGAAGUGACGAGAAACGAGGUGUGAUGGCCACAGGCAUGCCUCCAGGAACCUACUGCUUCCCUCAAGCCUCUCAAAGUUGCCAUCGGCUUCCAAAACAGUUUGGUGAAACAUUUAACACAUAAGCUUGCAUCAGGAAGUAGUCAACAUGUGAGCCUGUGGGGGACACUCCAUAUUCUAAUCUUAAUGAACCAGUAUUAGCAUUUUAGAACUAAUGAAGAAAACUAUCACUUAUUAGCUGUCAAUCCGUGGCAAAUACUACAUUUUCAAACUUUAAAUUCUAGCAUCUGCUAUUAUCACUUCUGCUGUGGGAAAAUAUCACACUGCAGGUGCAUUGUGCAAGUCUCAGUGCUAUCUCUGAGGUCAAAUCCAUCUGAAAGCCCAGAAAACCCACUUUCCUUAUGAGUCAUGGUCAAGGAAGGAAGGGGUAGUGCAGCUUCCACGCAGCUUUCCCCCUGGGGAGCAGCUGCUAGCCUUAGUCAGUCUUUCAUUUCAUUCCACAUGUAAUAAGUGCACUUUGGGUUCUGAAUCCAGUUCAGGCCAGGGUGAGUAAGCAGUGUAUAAUCUUUGGCUCCUUAGACCACUUACUCCAGCAUACUCCCUAAAGGCCUUAAAUCAAUGAAAAUAAGUGAUCAUGCCACAUGUCAUUCUUAACUUUUACAUUCAGGUCAGUACCUUACAUCAGUAUCAUUUAAAAACAAUGCUUUAGCUACCUUUUUAUAUACAGUAGGUAGUGGUAAAAUUGGGAAGUUAACAUUAUAUAGUAGCAAUGGCUUAUGAAAAUUAAGUGCCUAUUCAAUACGUCUUGCUUGCUUUGUUUUUACUCAAUCCUAUGAAACUGUAGAUUAAUAUAAACUCAUUGCAAAGGCAGCCUGUCCAUGUUACACACUGACAGGUUUGUAAUUUUAAGUCUGUUAGUCAUCACACAAAAACAACAAUACAAAUUCUUCCCAAUCAAAAUAAUGACAGUGAUUAUGGAGGUAACUUGACUGGGAUGGACCCUCCAGUACCAGGCAGGGUCCAUGUCCAUCAGUCAUGCCCACAUGUCUUUUUUAUUUCUGGCCCAGGAAUGUAAUCCUGCUUACAAUAAGUAUGGCUUCAAUAAAAGUGGUUGAUAGAAAAAUACUAUUUUUAUGUAUCUUUUUGUAGGUUACAUGUUAAUUAUAGCCAACUGAUACAUUAAAAAUUCACACAUAUGUGUAUAUAAUCCUUAAAUCAGAAACAGAAAAGGAUUUCUAUUUAAGUCAAGACUAAAUGUCUUUAAAAUAUACAUAGUGGGUUUUUUUUGUACACUAAAGAAUAUAACUACAAUUGAAAGGACAAAUCCCAUUAUAAAGAGGGAAACAAGUGGUUACUUUUGGGGAAUGGAGAUGUUAAAAUUUAGAGCAGUGCAGGUAAUAAGUGGUGUGUUAAAAUCCUUUAAACCAUUGGCAAGAAUCAUUUGUGAAAUUAAAAAUAUUAAUACAUACUGAGCCCCUUUGGUAAACAAACAAAAGCCUGUUUGGUGGGAUGGGGUCAGGACUCAGCCAACAGACUAGAAUUAGAAGGCGUCACGAGGUUUUCUCAUCCUUGGCCUUGGUCUUAUUGCACAUUUACAAAAUCAGUGCCUCCAGAAACAAGGCCAGGUCACUGUUAUAGCGUCUGGACCAUGAAGAGUCUUCAUAAUGUUUGUUGUCUCCUUGACUGGGUGUCUGAGUCUAGUCUGUCACUCAGCUUACCCAGUGCACAUUACCUACCUCUUUGUAACUCAGUGUUCAUCUGCAAAAUGGGAUGAGAGCACCAGCUCCUGAGAAGAUUAAAUGAAUGAGUAUUUCAAACAUAGAAUGAGAUAGAUGGAAUUUAUAAAGCACAAGUUAUACAUUAGCAUUCAUUAGCUAGAGAAGUGAAAAAUAUGAAGAGACUGAGAUUUAAAAGUUUUAGAGAUUCUAAUUCAGUAAAAGUGAGUAUGAUUUACAUAAUAUCCUAUUUUUAUCCAUUCAUGUGUUGUGUCUACCUGGAAAAUGUUUUUGUAUUACCAUAAUUUUAUGUGGAACUAAAUUUAUACCAUCAGGCCUACUUUGUAUAUGUUGUUGGAUGAGUACAUAUGUGAGAAACUGAUUUACAAAAUAAAUUAUUUAUUAAAUGCAUUUCCCACUCCCAGGUAGAGUCACUUUUAAAAUGUUUCUCAGUCUGUUAAAACACUUUAAGUGAGGUCAAUAAAAAGUACUAUUAAAAUACCCCAAAUGCCUCAAAUAUCAUUAAUGUACAUAAAGUAUUUAAAUACAGUCUUCAAUAUUGCCUCAAACAUACAUCAUACUUUUACUUAGUAUUCAAAUAAAUUAUUGACAACAAUUUACAGUGAAGUAGAUCUACAAUAUAAACAUGUCUGAUGAUACUGACUGUAAUGAAGUGUUUUUACUUUGUCAUUUCUAAAAGUAAAUGUGGUGAACAUUAAACCAUAUAUCCAGAA